rnacentral:tRNA from 1 species
GGGCAUGUGGUGUAGUUGGUUAUCACGCUCGCUUAGCAUCUGUCGCUCACUCUGAAGAACUGCGAGAGGGGUCCGGUUCAAUCCCGGACAUGUCCA